rnacentral:rRNA from 1 species
GACGAACGCUGGCGGCGUGCUUAACACAUGCAAGUGGAGCGACGAACCAGGGCUUGCCCUGGGGCAAAGCCGCGAACGGGUGAGUAACACGUGGUAACCCACCCCGAUGAUCGGGACAACCCGGGGAAACUCGGGCUAAUACCGAAUGUGCCUUCAGUUCAUGAGGACUGAAAGUAAAGAUAGCUUCGGCCUUCGCAUCGGGACGGGCCCGCGGCCCAUUAGCUUGUUGGUGAGGUAACGGCUCACCAAGGCGACGAUGGGUAGCUGGUCUGAGAGGACGAUCAGCCACACUGGGACUGAGACACGGCCCAGACUCCUACGGGAGGCAGCAGUGGGGAAUCUUGCACAAUGCGCGAAAGCGUGAUGCAGCAACGCCGCGUGGGGGAAGAAGGCCUUCGGGUUGUAAACCCCUUUCAGUUGGGACGAAGCUUCAGCGGUGAAUAGCCGCUUGGAGUGACGGUACCUUCACAAGAAGCCCCGGCUAACUACGUGCCAGCCGCCGUAAAAC